AUUGAACGCUGGCGGCAGGCCUAACACAUGCAAGUCGAACGAGUGGCGGACGGGUGAGUAAGGUCUGGGAAACUGCCUGAUGGAGGGGGCUAACUACGGGAACCGGUAGCUAAUACCGCAUACCAUCGGAUGUGCCCAUAUGGGAUUAGCUAGUGGGUGGGGUAAAGGCUCACCUAGGCGACACUCCCUAGCUGGUCUGAGAGGAUGACCAGCCACACUGGAACUGAGACACGGUCAAGACUCCUACGGGAGGCAGCAGUGGGGAAUAUUGCACAAUGGGCGCAAGCCUGAUGCAGCCAGGCCGCGUGUAUGAAGAAGGCCUUCGGGUUGUAAAGUACUUUCAGCGGGGAGGCGUUACCCGCAGAAGAAGCACCGGCUAACUCCGUGCCAGCAGCCGCGGUAAUAC
rnacentral:rRNA from 1 species